AUUCAUCAAAAUCUUCUUCCUCUUCAUUCUCUUCCAUUGGCUCAAAAUCACUAGCAUCUUCCUCAACUUCAGCAGGACCAACAGGUCUUACAAGAUAAUCUGUUCCCAUAUCCUCCUCUUCAUCCUGGUCAUCAUUGUC